UACGUAGGGGGCAAGCGUUGUCCGGAAUCAUUGGGCGUAAAGAGCGUGUAGGCGGUCCGGUCAGUCGGUUGUGAAAGUCAAGGGCUCAACCCUUGAAUGCCGGCCGAUACUGCCGGGCUGGAGUCCGGAAGAGGUGAGUGGAAUUCCUGGUGUAGCGGUGAAAUGCGCAGAUAUCAGGAGGAACACCGAUGGCGAAGGCAGCUCACUGGGACGGUACUGACGCUGAGACGCGAAAGCGUGGGGAGCAAACAGG
rnacentral:rRNA from 1 species